rnacentral:rRNA from 1 species
AACGAACGCUGGCGGCAGGCCUAACACAUGCAAGUCGUGCGAGGACUUCGGUCCUAGCGGCGGACGGGUGAGUAACGCGUGGGAACGUGCCCUUUGCUUCGGAAUAGCCCUGGGAAACUGGGAGUAAUACCGGAUGAGCCCUUUGGGGGAAAGAUUUAUCGGCGAAGGAUCGGCCCGCGUUGGAUUAGGUAGUUGGUGGGGUAAUGGCCUACCAAGCCGACGAUCCAUAGCUGGUUUGAGAGGAUGAUCAGCCACACUGGGACUGAGACACGGCCCAGACUCCUACGGGAGGCAGCAGUGGGGAAUCUUAGACAAUGGGGGAAACCCUGAUCUAGCCAUGCCGCGUGAGCGAUGAAGGCCUUAGGGUUGUAAAGCUCUUUCAGCUGGGAAGAUAAUGACGGUACCAGCAGAAGAAGCCCCGGCUAACUCCGUG